rnacentral:lncRNA from 1 species
GCAGUCUUGUAUUCUACGAUUCUUCCUACCAUGGUAGGAGUUAAGGAAGAAUAGAUACAACUCAUGACAAGUCUAUUCGUUCAUUCCCAUUGUAUGAAGAAUGGGUUGAUCUACAGUUGGGCAUCAUCCAAGAACUUGGCUGGUAUAGGCGUUUCUCCCUCAAUGAAAUCUUUCAACCUGUUGGCUAUGAUCACAUUCAGAAACUGAUUUUUCCAUUGGAGCAGGUUUGUUUCAUCAAGUUUGAUAGUUAGAGGCUGAGAAAGAGAUGGGUAAUUGGCUUGGGUAAUGAUCGGAUUGGAGAUUGGAGUUGGGUUAAUAUUUUGGGGAUUUGUUGUUAGGGUUGUC